AAGUCGAACGGUGAAGGGACCAGCUUGCUGGUUCUGGAUGAGUGGCGAACGGGUGAGUAACACGUGAGUAACCUGCCCCCUUCUUCUGGAUAACCGCAUGAAAGUGUGGCUAAUACGGGAUAUUCUGGGUCUGUCGCAUGACGGGCCCGGGAAAGAUAUUGCUUCGGUGGGGGAUGGGCUCGCGGCCUAUCAGCUUGUUGGUGGGGUGAUGGCCUACCAAGGCGGUGACGGGUAGCCGGCCUGAGAGGGUGGACGGUCACACUGGGACUGAGACACGGCCCAGACUCCUACGGGAGGCAGCAGUGGGGAAUAUUGCACAAUGGGCGCAAGCCUGAUGCAGCGACGCCGCGUGAGGGAUGGAGGCCUUCGGGUUGUAAACCUCUUUCGCCAGUGAAGCAGGCCUGCUCCUUGUGGGUGGGUUGACGGUAGCUGGAUAAGAAGCGCCGGCUAACUACGUGCCAGCAGCCGCGGUAAUACGUAGGGCGCGAGCGUUGUCCGGAAUUAUUGGGCGUAAAGAGCUCGUAGGCGGCUGGUCGCGUCUGUCGUGAAAUCCUCUGGCUUAACUGGGGGCUUGCGGUGGGUACGGGCCGGCUUGAGUGCGGUAGGGGAGACUGGAACUCCUGGUGUAGCGGUGGAAUGCGCAGAUAUCAGGAAGAACACCGGUGGCGAAGGCGGGUCUCUGGGCCGUUACUGACGCUGAGGAGCGAAAGCGUGGGGAGCGAACAGGAUUAGAUACCCUGGUAGUCCACGCCGUAAACGUUGGGCACUAGGUGUGGGGGGCCUUUUCCGGGUCUUCCGCGCCGUAGCUAACGCAUUAAGUGCCCCGCCUGGGGAGUACGGCCGCAAG
rnacentral:rRNA from 1 species